rnacentral:rRNA from 1 species
UACAGAGGGUGCGAGCGUUAAUCGGAAUUACUGGGCGUAAAGCGCGCGUAGGCGGUUUGUCGCGUCUGCUGUGAAAACCCGAGGCUCAACCUCGGGCCUGCAGUGGGUACGGGCAGACUAGAGUGCGGUAGGGGAGAUUGGAAUUCCUGGUGUAGCGGUGGAAUGCGCAGAUAUCAGGAGGAACACCAAUGGCGAAGGCAGAUCUCUGGGCCGUAACUGACGCUGAGGAGCGAAAGCAUGGGGAGCGAACAGG